AAUGUACAUGUUUCCGAGAUUCAAAUCUGAAUACAAACAACCAUGUACACUGUAAAAGUCAGAACAUUAAAUGCAUGACUGAACAGAAAAAGUUCAUCCAUAAUGUGACCAGGGAAAACUUUGCAGGGAAAAGCAAAACCUGUAAUUACACAGUCUAUAUAAUGACUGUAGUUAAGAUGAAUAUGAUGAAUGAUUCCCCGGAACACAGCCGUGUAAAGAUCCCUGCGCCCAAGCUGUCUGAGUAUGAUCGACCCAUAGACGUUUUUGUCCCGAUUGAACCAUUUCUGAACGUCUCUGAGCAGCUCAGUAAAGUUAGCGUAGUGAGAUAUCGCUCAUCUGAAGAUUUUAUAGGUAACUCGACAACCAUUUUGAAAUCCCAAGUCAUUUGUGUUGAAAUACUGGACCGUGAGCUUAAGAACUUGUCCAAUCGACUUGUUAUCAAUUUUACAGUGAACAGUAGUGAAAUAAAUGAAAACCAAACACUGUCGUGUCAGUUCUAUAAUGAAACAGGGGAAAACUGGGAGGUCACGGGGUCAUUCACCAACCUGUUUUUGAGCAGUAACGUUGUAUCCUGCUCUUAUGAUCACAUGACCCCUUUUGCCAUACUUCUGGUUGACCUGAAUGUGACCCAAAUUGAUCAACAGCAGUGGAAUGUCCUAUCCUAUAUUAGUUACAUAGGUUGUAGUCUUUCAGCCCUUUUCUCAGCGGUGACCAUCUUCAUCUAUGCUUUCAUAAAGAGCUCAAACAAAGACAGUUCCAUCCAUAUCCACGUGUCUCUGAGUGCGGCCCUUUUCCUUCUCAACAUCAGCUUCUUGUUCACUGAAUGGGGAGCCACAUGGUCUCAAAACAUUGCAUGUGUCUUCAUAGCAGUGAUAAUAGAGUACAGCCUCUUGUCCUGUUUCUCUUGGAUGGCCAUUGAAGCAUUACAAUUGUUCUUGCUUCUAAUCAAAGUGUUUAACAUCCGCAUCAAGCACUACAUGAUCAAGCUGUCACUGUUUGGAUGGGGACUGCCUGCUGUGCUUGUUGGAGGGAGUCUGUGUGUUUAUGGUACUACGCCUUUUUAUGGCACCACAGAAAUAAAAUUAUCAGACACAAAAAUAACAAAGAAAUUAUGCUGGAUUACCGACAUCCGCUUUCUGUAUGGCAUGAACAUCAGCUAUUUCUCCAUAACGUUCCUGUUCAACACGUGCAUUCUGGUGGCAGUGACGCAUCAGAUCUAUAAGCUCCGGCGCAAUAAUGUCAGCGGUAGCAAUCUUCCAUCUUGUAAGGAUAUAUGCACUGUCCUGGGCCUGGCCCUUCUGUUGGGAAUGACAUGGGGUUUGGCUUUCUUCACAUCAGGAUACACAAACUACCCCGUUCUUUACCUCUUCUGUAUCUUUAACACCCUGCAAGGGUUGUUUCUGUUCCUGUGGGUCUAUCAUACAUUGCAGAGGAAAAAGUGCCUGGAGGCACAAACUACGACUGUGUCUGAGCCAAAUACCUAAUACCUAUGAAAACAGGUUUGCCCAGUGAUCAGAUGUUCCAUUGAUGUCUUUUACUGGUAUUGUGAUUAUACAUCAUAUACUGAUUGAUAUAAAAGCAGGCACUGCAUUAAUUUAUCACAAGAUUAAGUGAUCACAAGAUUUCAAACCAAAUUCAUAACCUCACUCUGUAACCAUUAGUUUCAUAAUCAGUUUCACAGUUCACUUUUUUUCCAAUAGCGCCAAUGAGUUCCUUAUUUUCAGCAUUACAAAAGUAAAUGAUGCAUGUUGUUUUUGAGGAACAUAGCAUGUGUAUAAUAUGUUUAAUGGUCUAAUACAUAAAUAGAGUAAUUCUCUAUCACCUCAAAUUUUUCCUAAACUGACCUGAUCUGAUGUUAGUUUUACAAAUAAAACAAUACAUAAACUAGUAGAAGUAUCUGUAUUCUGCCUGUUUGUUAUCACUCUGCAUAUUAAUUCAUUUCUAAGCUGAUUAUCAAGCUCUUUUGUAGUGUAUUCAUCUGAUAAUGUGUGGAAUUGUUUUUGCCCUAUCGAUGCAGCUUUACUUCCUCCUAAGUCUCUGACUUUUUUUUUUGUUCCUCAAAAUAAAACCUGUUUUGUCUGCUUUAUCUUCUGUUCUUAAAAAACAACUGUGUAAAUAAAAUGGUACCAGGUGACAUUUCUGGUUCAGUGUCAAAUAUGGUAUUAUGGACAGUAAUGAUUACGUAUCAUGUGACGUCUAUAGUUCCUUCCGAUCUAUGAGCAAACCACAAAGCAUGAAGAGAGACAUUGUUGCAUCAAGAGUAGCAGCAGUAGUGAGAUCUUAUUUUUAAAAUAUGUGUCUACUGGUUGUUCUUAGGAUUUGUAUAUUUUUCUCCAUGACACUGACCAUGACAGGAGCCAUUGAUUGUUCUCGCGUUGUUCAGUAUUGUCAACAACAGGAUUCCAACAACAACGUUCCUAUGUGUGUUGAAAGAGAAAUGAAACAUUGUGCACGCGGCCGACUUCAAAUUCAACUACCAGACUUUUAUAUAAAAAAC